GAUGAAGAACGUAGCGAAAUGCGAUACGUAAUGUGAAUUGCAGAAUUCAGUGAAUCAUCGAAUCUUUGAACGCAUAUUGCGCUCUUUGGUAUUCCGAAGAGCAUGCUUGUUUGAGUAUCAGUAAACACCUCAAAGCUUUUGGAUUUUUUAAUCGAAAAGCUUUGGACUUGAGCAAUCCCAACACCAAUCUUUUUGAGAUCGGUGGCGGGUUGCUUGAAAUGCAGGUGCAGCUGGACAUUCUCCUGAGCUAAAAGCAUAUUCAUUUAGUCCCGUCAAACGGAUUAUUACUUUUGCUGCAGCUAACAUAAAGGGAGUUUGACAGUAUUGGCUGACUGAUGCAGGAUUUCACAAGGGUCGGCAACGAUUCUUGUUAAACUCGAUCUCAAAUCAAGUAAGACUACCCGCUGAACUUAAGCAUAUCAAUAAGCGGAGGA
rnacentral:misc_RNA from 1 species